CAAACAAACCUCAUCCAUAAUGAAAGAGCCCAUCAUCCCCAGCACCAACCCUCUCCUCCAUCCUCACCCUAAACCCUAACCCUCCAUCAUAAAAACCCCAAAUCUGGUCCCCAUACCCAGCGGUCUCCACCAUCUCGGAAUCCAUCUUUGACUCUAUCCCUAAUCCCACCGCCACACCUUAAUCCAAUCGCUGAUCCCUUCAAUACGGCGCCGAUCGCAGGAGAUGAGAUCAGGAUCUCCGGGUUCAACUUUGAGACGAUUCAAGAGGAUUUGAUUCCCAGCGUACUAAUAAAAUAUUUCCAAGUUUGGUUGAUCUCCUUCUCUCUCUCUCUCGAGGUUGCCAAGUGCUUCAUCAUGCAUUGUCGGAGUGUGGGCUUGUUGGAAUUUAAGUAGCUUAUUAUAUUUGGAACCGGGUCAUCCCUUCUCAGCUACUAACUCGCUGGCGAAAUUCGUCAUCAUUCCUCUAUUUCAAACUCAAUUCACGAGUACACGUGUUUGAGAGAAUAUAAAUGAGAACUGAUCAGGAGUGGAUGUAUAAUAGACUUACACACGGACAUAGAUUCAUUAACCCUGAAUUUAUGGUUGGGGUAGAGCCAUUCAUCCAAUAUGCUUGUGAUCAACCGAGAUUUAAUGGAUGGUGAUAAAAUAAGAUGCCUAUGUCCGUAAUCAACUACAAAUCCAAGAAGAGCGGCAUCAACAAGAGUGUCAAGAAACUCUCCAAGAGCUUAAAGAAACUCGACAAGAGGUGGUUGAAAUGGGGAGGAUGCUACAAUUACUUAUAUCUCAGAAUCAAGCACCUUCUCAAAUUAAUCAAUCAGGUCAUGAUGAAGAUGUUGAUCCUACUCCACCAACUUAGUAGUUAAUGUUUUUAUCUUGUGACAUAUUUCUCGUAUUUGUUGCUUGCUUGUGAUACUUUUGAGUUUUAGUACUUGCCACUUAUAUUAGCUAUAUGUGCUUGAAGCUAUUUUGAAUAUGAAUUGUGUUGUUUUUUAA